CUAAAAUACUCUCCCCCAAAACUCAGCCUCCAGUGGCACAAUAAACCCGCCACGGCGCCUUUGUCACAAACUUCUGCAACCACCUCCAUGAUCUACACCCACUAAUCACUAUGUCCACCGCAAUUACCACCCUAGAGUGGAUGGUCCUGAAAUCCAUCAUCUUCUUCACCAUGCUCCAUAGAUACCCUUUUUAUGUCGGCCACUAGAUGCAAGCUGUGAAGAAUUGAGGAGAGUUAGUAUACUCAAAAUAAGAAGAGGGGAAGCAGAUCUAUGUUCUUUCUUUUGUUGCUGCGUGAAAAUAUCUCCUAUUUUGGAGGGCGUAACUCAAAUAAUGUUACAUACAUAUUGCAAUCUCAUCCCUUUUGCCUGAUUUUACGCUUGCAUAUUUGAGACUCUUCCAGAAAAAUAUGCAAUCGCCAUUUGAUCCUCCCAACACAUGAUGCGCUCCUUCAUUCCCUCCACCGAAAAACCCUUGGCUACUGACCUUCCCAUCAAGGUGCCAUCUCUGUUAUUUUAUACUUUUGGUUCAAUAUAUUGCACAUUACAUUUACAGCUUUAAUAUUUCAUAUGUCAGAAACCUCUAACGAUUACACAAAUAUUGAAGAUAAUAUAUUAGUUUUUUUUAUUUCUAUUACCAAGAUCAAGAAAGUAGAACAAUCAACGAUAAAAGGAAAAUAUUUUCCUCAGUCAGAUGGUGAGGAUCUACCUUCCGUUCCAUCCUUAUUAUUCAAUGUGAAUGAUGGUGUAAUAACAAAAUGAAUUGGUAGCAGAAAAACCAAGCAGUAGUUACAGGAAGGUAUGAAUCUUAUGUUUUUUGGCUUAAUAUGUUUACACUUUACAUUCAAAAAUAGUCUUAGAAAAUUAGAUAAUCUAAAAAAAAUUAAUUUUUUGCAUUGCCUUACUUCAUAACUCUUAAAAUAGGGUUAUAUGAUUUCCCAGGCUCAAAUAUUGUUAUCCCAGGUUCGAUUUUGACUUGAUGUGUUUGGUGUUAUAAGAUGCACACUUUUUUUUUCCGCUUCUUGCUAUGUGAUAAUUUUUCUGAAAAUUGGUCACAAAACAUAUUCAAUAACUGUUAAGAUAUUAGACCAAAAUACCCCUAUCAUUUAGGUGCAGCUGCAUCAUUGAAUCUAUUUAUUAUUUUGCUACAUUGAGGAUUAGUUGUAGCAAAAACAUGAGGUUUGAAAUCAUGGUUAUGUAGCUGAUGGAAAAUUAGACCCAAUUACCACUUUAAUAGGAGGGUAUCACAUAAAAAUAAUGUUUUUGUUGCAUAUAGUUUGUGGUAGAAAAUGUUUAGAUACAAUCAAAAAAAUUGUGAAUACCUAGGAAACUUUAUAGUCUUGCCUAUUGGAUUUCGUUCCUUGUGUAACACCCAAAGUUUUGAAGACCAAGAAAGGAAAGAAAACCCUAAGUUUAGGGGUCGACUCGGCGAGUCCAAGGAGGGACUCGGCGAGUCCGAGCGGGAUCCGGGUCGAGGUGUAAGUGACCAACUCGGCGAGUCGGCCAAGUGGACUCGGCGAGUCUGGUCUGUGUAAGGAAAUCCCUAAAUUCGGGACUUGGAGCCUAUUUAAGCGCCUCAUUCUCUUCCCUAGGGUUCCUUUACUGCCUAUUUCACCCAGAACAUUAAACCCUAGCCGCCAUAUCCUCUAUUUGAGCCAUUUGUUGCCUUGGAAGGUGCAUUAAAGCUUGGAGAAGGAAGAAGGAACUUGGAGGAGCAAGAAGGGACUAUAGAUCUGGGAUUGUGAGUUCAUUCUGAGCAUUUGGAGGUAAUAAACUAGUUCUUGGACCCUUUUUGCACCUAGAUCUAUGUGUGGUUGUUGGGGCUUUUUAUCCAUAAUGUUAUUAUUUUGAGUUAGAAGCCAGAUCUGAAGUUGCUACUUCAUAUCUAAGCAUAUUAAGGUCUUGAGAAACAUAAAGUAGCAGCCCUUGUGUCGAUUAUGGAGCUUUCUUGCCUUAAACCCUAGUUUAUGGUGUAUUUUGCCUAGAUCUCCUUCUCUACACGUAAAGUUUGAAACUUUACGUGAGGAAUAGGCUUGGGAAGGGUAGAUCUACAGAUUUGAGUCCCUGCAUGACUCAAAAGUCCUCUGCAUGUAUGAAGGACCGGAUGGACUCGGCGAGUCCUUUGAGUGGACUCGGCGAGUAUCUUAAAGAUGAGGAGGAACUCGACGAGUGGGAUGAACAACUCGUCGAGUCGGAUGAAGUUGGGCAUGAACUCGGCGAGUUGGAAGAACAACUCGGCGAGUUGGAUGAAGAUUGCCUUGUACUCGACGAGUCUGUUCUUGGACUCGGCGAGUCAGGUCGCGGAACCCCAAACCCUUCGAGUUAAGACUCGAGUCAGCAAGUCAAGCAAGGACUCAGUGAGUUGGACAGGACAGGAUUUGGGAAUCAGUAGACUCGGCGAGUCAAGUCGCGAUUGGAAGGACUUUGAGCAUAAGAACUCGGCGAGUCAGUAAGUGGACUCGGCGAGUAGGGUUGACCUGGAAGGUUGACUUUGACCAGGACUUUGACUUAUACCAUAGUUGGCUUGGUAGUCUUUCGGGGGUCAGUUAGACUCAGUGUUGCAUUGUUAUUGGUAGCUCGGGGAGCGGGUGGAGUCGGAGUUCAGAGAGUUGCCGGGCAGCAGCUAGUGGGAUCAUCAACAAGUUCAGCCACUGCAGGUGAGUUUCCCUUUGUGUGAAUGGGUCUAAGGCCACAAUGUCGGCCCAUGUAGUUAUGAGUAGAAGACCCGGGGGUUAGCCUUAGGCACAGUAUGCUAGUAUGAUAUUUGGGAUGAGGUCCAAUGACAGAGGGCGGGUGCCCAAGGAAUGGUUUAUGUGAUAGUUUAUACUUGUUGUCUGUGUGAUACUUGUAUGUGCCUGAUAGGGAGGUGAGUGUAAGAGAGGUCCCGUAUCUCACCAAUAGCAGAGUGUGGAUGGUGUUCCACAUCUCAGUAGCAGCAGAUCAAGGGCGAGGCCCAAGUUAGGGAAGGAGUGAGGGUGGGCUGGGCCCGUAUCUCACUAUUAGCAGAAGUAUGGACGGGGUUCCAUGACUCAUCAGUAGCAGGACACGGGUGGGGCCCAGAGAUAGGCGAAGCCUUAGAACAAGAUCUGUUAGUAUGUGUUUAGCUUAUGUGAUGUGAUGUGAUAUGUUUAUGUGCUAUUAUAUGUUAGUGGGCGGGGCCCUGUGACAGGCGAGGCCUAAGUGAAACAGAUCUGUAUCCGAGCGGGGCUCGAAGCCAGGCGGGGCCUGGAGCGGCGGGGUCGUUGUAGCGGGCGAGGCCCAGGAUAGCGGGCGUGGCCCAGUAUGUGCAGUAUGUGGUUAUGCAUGGUAUGUGGUAGGGUGGGGAACUCACUAAGCUUCGUGCUUACGGUUUUCAGUUUUGGUUUCAGGUACUUCCGGUAGCGGAGGGAGGAGCUCGGGGUGAUCGCAUGGCACACACCAUAGUUUAGACAGCCUGGAAAUAUUUACUCUGAUAACGAACAUGUAUUUUGGAAACUAAUACUCUGUUUAUGUUUUGAAAUGAUGAGUUUGCUUAAAGUAAUGUUUUAUUAAAAGAAAUUUUUAGUCUUGAAUUUUGGGACGUUACACCUUGGUUGACGAUUUUACCCCUCUCAUUUCCUCCCCUGUUUUGGAUAUCUCAUAAUGGGUCUUCAUGGUGGUUGCAAUUUGGAAGAAAGUAAACAAGCUCGUUUCUAGCUUUGCAUAAGCCAAAUCCAAAAGGAAUGAUUAAGUCUAAUUAAGUGUAACGCCCGUAGAUCCGGGCUAGUCAAUUUAUAGACAAUAAGUGUCGAAAAUGACUUUUCGGAAAAAGAUUAUUUAUAAUAAAUAGUCUUAACCAAGUUGUAUAAUAUAUCUUAAGGUUUCCGUACAUAUAAAGAACGCCGAAAUCCGAGUUAUAACGAAGAAGUUAUGACACGUCGAAGUUUCGUGACGGAACCGGCACGACACCUGGAAGUAUAAAUAGUGAAUUUACAAUAGAGCGAGAUUUAACCUUAGCAAUAUAAACAAAAGUCAUAGAAUAUGUUAAACCGAGAGCGUCCAUAAAAAGAACGCUCAAAUCUGACUUCGUAUAAAGAAGUUAUGAUUUUUGCAGUUUCGGCUUAGCAAUGUACAACUCGAAAUUCGAAUAUUAGAUCGAGUGGUUUUUAGCCGACACGACCUAAACAAGAAUGGAAAAUCUCGUUAAGAGUAGCGUAACGAGAAAAAGAUGGGCGAAAACGGACAUCGGAUGAAGAAGUUAUGAGGAUUUAACGGACCAAUCCUGUCCCGGCCUGUUAAUAAUAUAAAAUUUAAAAUAAACUCAAAAUUAGCCGAUGAAGUCUAAACAAAAGUUGUAGAGUACGUUCCCGCCUUCGCGUGGAUAUAAAGAACGUAAAAAACGGAGCUCGUAUGCGAAAAAUACGAAUUUUAGAAGUUAAGUGUACAACUUGCGAAGCUAAUGCAUGAAAUGAUGACGUGGCUGAACUCCCAGCCGUCGGAUGAACUCGCUUCGGAUGGUGACACCUGGUGCGAGGGUUACUCCUAGCGUAGCGAAGGGACGCCUAGUGUCCGGAGUACGCCCUGCGUCGGAAAGAAGUACGCCUCGCGUACAGCUGUUCUACUUGGUCCGAGGAGUGAACACAUAGCACCACUGAGACUGCGACAUGUGGAGACCUUAUCCGAACUUACGCCCAACGUAAGGCUUCGGUACGCCCAUCGUAAGUCCGAAGUCUGGGCUAUAAAUAGAUGGCCAAGGCUUCCAUUUCUCUUCACUCCAAACCCUCUUCUUUCUCUCACUACUUUCUCUCUCUAGCUCCUCUAAACCCCCCUAAACCCUAGAUAAAACCCCUAGCACCCUAAGGAAGCCCCGAGGCUCCCAGAGUCCCAAGAAAAAGUGUCUUUCGGUUUCGAAACGCUGCUCCAAAUAAAGUUCCGGUUUUCUUUAAAAUCCGCUGUAAGUGAGCUACGCUUACGCAAUUUUUAAUAUAGCUUUCAAAUAAUUAUAGGAAUGUUAUUAGGUCCUUAAAAUAAUUAUUUGGGCUAUUAUUAUGAGUUAUAUUGAGUGUUAUUUAACGCUUAUAUAAUAAUAAUAAUAAUAAUAAUAAUAAUAAUAAUAAUAAUAAUAAUAAUAAUAGUCAGACUAUUAAUUUGUCGCGGUUAUCGUUAGACUAAACCCUAGUGGUAUUGAUACUAGGUUUUAUCGAAGGAAAUUGUUUUGAGAGUAUCGAAGCAUUGUCCGAGUGCUGAGUCACCACCUUUCAAGUAAGUACAUGGUCCCUUUCAGUUUACACAUAGAUAUGAAGUAUUUUUAUAUAAAUUACGUGCUAUGUGUGCAUAUUAUCUGAAUACUUGCUAUCUAUGCUGGAUGAACGUUUUAUACAUGUUUUCAAUGAUUUAUACUGUAUAAGUAUAUUUAUAUCUACUAAUAUAUUGGGGAUAAAACAUGGGUAGAUGAAAUAGUUGGUGUGUGAUGAAAUAAAAUAAUGAGAGAUAGGUGAUGAUAGGAAGGUGAUGAUAAUUAGGUGAGGAUAAAUAGGUGAUGAUGAAUCGGUGAUGUAGGAUACUAUAACCUUGUCCGACAAUUUGGAGAUGUAGUCAUCUACCAGAGUAUAGAUGGCGACCACAGACUAUUAUAGACAACCCCGUGGAAACACCAGCAGACUCAUAACCUGUAGGUGAUGAAUUACGAGUUCAGGCGAUGUUGUAACUACGUAUUCAUGCGAUGAUACUCUAACCCCCUUACUAUGAAUUAUGAGUUCAGCCGAUGUUGUAACUACGUAUUCAUGCGAUGAUACCCUAACCCUUGGUGGGCACGUAUUGAGGGAGUAAUCCCUGAAUCAAUACUGUCUAGGCGAUGUAGGCGAUGAUCCUUAGGGAAAGUCCUUAGGAACAAACAUAUAAGGAGAUGCGAUGUAAGAAGAUGAGAGGUAAAAUAUGAUGUAGGAGACGACCCUUAGGAUAAAUCCUUACGGAGGGUACUUAGGAAUAAAGAAGAUAAUGGGGAUGAGUAAUUGUGUUAAUUUUUUGAUGAUUGAACAUAAUAAUUAUAUUAUUGUGGGUUGAAAACCCUAUGUACUCAUCAGGUUUCCCAACUUGACCCACUCAAUUUAUUUAUAUCACAAGUGUCGAUAUGAAGUGACAUUACACUGAGAGAUUAAAGAGAUGUAGAUCACUAGUGUAAAUAAAUGUAAGUUCCGUUUAUGCUUAUGUUCCUGUAUUGACAAUGACAUCCCAAACGUUUUAAAAUGAAUAAAAUACGUUUCUUCAAAAAUGCUUUGAUAACGUAUUUAUCAUAUUUUUUUGGGAACAAAUUCCGCAACAUUUUUAUGAAAAUAAGUACUCUAAUUUUUAUAAAGAAUAAACAAAAUCGGUCUUUUCUGACCGUGAAAAUAGGGAUGUCACAUUAAGUCCUUUGGUUCGGUUACUUUUCAUAAUCUAACUUACAUUUUCACUUCUCUUUUGGAUAAAAAUGAAGGUAAGAUGUCACAAUAAUAGAACUAUAUUCCUAUUUCUUACUUUUCAUAUUGUCAAUUUUGUAUGUUUAGUGAUCAUAUUAAUAGGCUUUCUAACGUGCCAUGAAGCAACUCGUGGGUCAGUGACACGACAUCGAGGUAAAUUACUGUUUUGGUGAUUUCUUAUGCAGAUUCAAAACUUUUCCCUCCUCUUGAACCUAUAGGUUAGAAAAUGAGUUUGCCCUCCUUCAUAAAUAGAUUGAUGAAGAUGUGGUUAUUAUUCCAUUUCCUUAAGAUGUUUGUCUUCAACCCACAACCCCACUUGAUUUUGUUUAAUAAAUGCAUAAUAAUAUUGAUUUUGCUAGACUUUGAAAGGAAGCUGAACCAUUUGCCAAGCAUUGCAACCAAUAGUUGCCACAGAAAGAAAAGUUGUCUAUUGAUAAAAAGUAACUGGAAACAUUAGACAAGAUAAAUCAGUCGAUCAGGUAGAACAAUAUUUUUUCUUGCCAUUAAUCACUCUUUGAUAGCCAAUGCCAUCACUCAUCAGCAAAUUAAGUUAAAUUUCAUAAUUUGGAAUGUAUAUAUGUAGUUUUUUUGCUGUAUGAUCUUUUGAUUUUUUUGGAAUAGGAGUGCAACUUUUUAUAUUCAUGUAAUAAAAAUCUGACAAAGGGUAAAAAUAUAGCACAUAUGUAACUAUAACUAUAAUCGUGCAUGUGUGUGUUGCUUUAUGUGCAUGUAUGUAUGUAUGUAUGUUAUUUUAUCCUCCAGGUGGUCAUACAAGUCGAUUGAGUUGGUCAUGCAAUUGUAUUGUGUGUACAUAAUGCUGAUUGGAUCUUUAUAUAGCCCUUGGUGGUUUUUUAGGUUGAAGACAAAUAAUGGAUCUAUGGUUCACAAAGGUUUAAAAGUUGGUUGCUAUUUAACGCCAUCAGCAUCUUGCAAAGCUUGGAGCCCUGAUUCGUAUACUUACCUAAACCAAAGUGGAACAUUGAAAUGAGCACUAAAAAUGAAAAAACAAACAAACAAACAAACAAACAAACAAAACAAAACUUUUUUUGGACCUAAGCCAAAUAAAAUCAUCAGCCACAUGGAGUUAAAUGGAGUUUAAAAGUUUUUUUUAAUCUUGAUUGGUGAUUGAAUUAACCGGUUUCUACUCUUGAAUUUUUUUCGGUGCUUCCUAUGGUCCUUUUCUGCAGAUAAGGAGGAACUUUCCUGAUGGAGAGAACAAAGUUCGCUGCUAUAUUGGUGUUUUUUUUCUCUCCUGAUGCUUACUGUUGCUAUGAGUUUAAUUUGAUGUUGGUAAUUUCACAUGGUGGUGUCAUAAUUGACCUUUGUUUUUUUCUUUUGUAAAAGUUUUUGUUUGAUACUCUUGGUAACUUGCUGGAAGUUGGCUUUUAUUUGUUUUAUUAUUGUUUGUCACAAUUCAAAAAAAAAAAAAACUAAACAUAAUCAUCUGAUUAUAUUGUGUAUCUUCUAGCGAAU